CCUACGGGUGGCAGCAGUGGGGAAUAUUGCGCAAUGGGCGAAAGCCUGACGCAGCGACGCCGCGUGAGGGAUGAAGGUCUUCGGAUCGUAAACCUCUGUCAGCAGGGAAGAACGGGCACUGUGCUAAUCAGCAGUGACUUGACGGUACCUGCAAAGGAAGCACCGGCUAACGCCGUGCCAGCAGCCGCGGUAAUACGGCGGGUGCGAGCGUUAAUCGGAAUUACUGGGCGUGAAAGGCGCGUAGGCGGUAUGUCAAGUCAAGGGUGAAAUCCCCGGGCUAAACGUGGGAACUGCAUUUGAAACUGGCAAACUGGAGUGUGUGAGAGGAUAGUGGAAUUCCAGGUGUAGGGGGAAAAUCCGUAGAUAUCUGGAGGAACAUCAGUGGCGAAGGCGACUAUCUGGCACAUAACUGACGCUGAGGAGCGAAAGCGUGGGUAGCAAACAGGAUUAGAUACCCCAGUAGUC
rnacentral:rRNA from 1 species